rnacentral:lncRNA from 1 species
CUGGGAUUACAGGCGUGAGCCACCGUGCCUGGGUCAGACAGCUUUUCUAUAGUGAAACAAAUCACACAGGAAUAUAAUUAUGACCAUUUUCCCUGGCAAAUAUCUAAGUAACUUUAAGGUUUGUCGGGUCCUGUGUCAUAGGUGUUGCCAUGUGUGCUACCUUUUUCAGAAGGCCCCAUUUACCUUGUAAACCUCUCUUCAUCUCUAAUAGGCCCUGUAUGGGCUCUGCUGUCUCAGUUUUAACUGUCUUCUGCUUGAUGUGAGUUCAGCCUGGGGAUAUAAAGCUUUGCAGAGCCAAUGCCUUUGCAUUAUUCCCUGAAAGCUUGACUAGGGAGGCCAAUCAUUAUGGGCCAGGGUGGGAUUCCUUGAACUCUCUUGGAAUGGGCUCACCAAGGACUAUCUUUGGUUCUAGGAAAACCUAUCAUUUUCUUUCCUUUAAAUUAAGCGUUUUCAGUGGCAUUGGCUCAGCCAAGCAUCCCUAGCAUUUCUACUUCUCAACCAUAGGUGAGUGGUGCUCCCAUGAGUUGUGCAGUACACAACCUGCACAGCCAUAUGUGGCAGUUGUGCAGGGGUGGCAGUUCUGCCUACCCUCAGUGGAAGAUGGAUGGAGAUUUGUUCUAAGGACAACGCCUCUUACAACUGUAUCUUGACCUCUUGAGGCCCAAAUCGCUGCAUUCCUAUAAUGUGGUUGCUUUCAAUGAUGACUGCACCCCUGCCUUCCACAUGCCACCAUUAGCAGGGAGCACAGCAAGAGGCCUGUGAGCAGAGUGAGAAGAGCAAGCUCAUUUAAGCAGGAUACUUCCAUCUCUUAUUCUCCAUGGCUUAAAACCGGUGAGAGAAUAAUGUCUCAACUGGAGGUGUGAAAGUACAUCAAUAGGAGGUGUAUGUUGGUGUUGGGGAGCAACAUCUCAAAAAUCCUUGGUGGAUGUUAUGGACUGAAUAUGUGUUCCCCCCACCUCCCGGCCCCAAAUUCAUAUGCCGAAGCCCUAACCUCCAAUGUGAUGGUAUUAGGAGGUGGAGCUUUGGGAGGUAAUUAGGUUUAGAUAAGGUCG